AAGUAGGGAAAAGCCUAAGUGGUGGCUGCUGCCUGGGUGGUGCAGAACUUGGGCACCCCAAGUUGAAGAAGCUUUAGUGGAGCUUCUUUGGUAACUCAAGCUGCAACAAAUCUGGUGGAUCUUGAAAUUUAGGUCGGCGACGCACUAAUUACAGUAGAAGCCAAUUCGGCUCUAAUUGCAUUGAGUCGCGUGAUAUUGUUGUUGGCACAGUUCGAGACGUGGAUUCUAGUUCUUGACACCACUACAGGUUCCAGUGCGAGCGGUGUGGCCGAGGAUCGUGGUAAGAGCCCCGCAGCCUAGCUAGCUGAC